UAGAGUUUGAUCAUGGCUCAGGAUGAACGCUGGCGGCGUGCCUAACACAUGCAAGUCGAACGGGGUAUAUAAGCGGAAGUUUACGGAUGGAAGGUUAUAUACUUAGUGGCGGACGGGUGAGUAACGCGUGGGCAACCUGCCCCGUGCCGGGGGAUACCGCCUGGAAACAGGCGCUAAUACCGCAUAAGCGCAUACAGCCGCAUGGGUGUAUGCGGAAAGCUCCGGCGGCACGGGAUGGGCCCGCGCCCGAUUAGCCAGUUGGCGGGGUAACGGCCCACCAAAGCGACGAUCGGUAGCCGGCCUGAGAGGGCGGACGGCCACAUUGGGACUGAGACACGGCCCAAACUCCUACGGGAGGCAGCAGUGGGGAAUAUUGCACAAUGGGGGAAACCCUGAUGCAGCAACGCCGCGUGGGUGAAGGAGCGUUUCGGCGCGUAAAGCCCUGUCAGCGGGGAAGAAGAAAGACGGUACCCGACCAAGAAGCCCCGGCUAACUACGUGCCAGCAGCCGCGGUAAUACGUAGGGGGCGAGCGUUAUCCGGAAUUACUGGGUGUAAAGGGAGCGUAGACGGCGAGGUAAGCCUGAAGUGGAAGCCCGCGGCCCAACCGCGGAACUGCUUUGGGAACUGUUUUGCUGGAGUACGGGAGGGGUAAGCGGAAUUCCUGGUGUAGCGGUGAAAUGCGUAGAUAUCAGGAGGAACACCGGUGGCGAAGGCGGCUUACUGGACCAUAACUGACGUUGAGGCUCGAAAGCGUGGGGAGCGAACAGGAUUAGAUACCCUGGUAG
rnacentral:rRNA from 1 species